GUUGGAUUGUUCACCCAC
rnacentral:ncRNA from 2 species